UACGUAGGGUGCGAGCGUUGUCCGGAAUUAUUGGGCGUAAAGGGCUCGUAGGCGGUUUGUCGCGUCGGGAGUGAAAAUCCAGGGCUUAACUCUGGACUGGCUUUCGAUACGGGCAGACUAGAGGUAUGCAGGGGAGAACGGAAUUCCUGGUGUAGCGGUGGAAUGCGCAGAUAUCAGGAGGAACACCGAUGGCGAAGGCAGAUCUCUGGGCCGUAACUGACGCUGAGGAGCGAAAGCAUGGGGAGCGAACAGG
rnacentral:rRNA from 1 species